CCAGACUCGUUAGGAAUGAAGGUUUGGGUCACCCCACCUGGCAAGGAACCAUGACCGGCUCAGGUACCACCUUUUCUUCUGACGAAACUUCUGCCUUGGGCCCCUGGUGAUUACUGUGUUGGGCCGAGUCUAAGAGGCCCUCGGCAAUGUCUGCCUCCCAGUAGUCACACACUUCCUCUGGAGUGUGGACACUCGGUUCUAGCCAAUGGGGUACACCAAAGGUGAUGGGACAAUGUCAUUUCUGCAAUGAGGUGAUGUAAGUGUAUGGCCUCCAUCUUGCCAGCAGUGAUGAAGCAACUGCCAUUGUGGAGAGGCCCAUGGGGCCAGGAGCUGAGGAGCUGAGGUCCUCCAGUCCAACAGUCUGCAGGGAGCUGAAUUCUGCCAGAACCAUGUGAGUUAGGAAGCAGAUCCUUCCCCGGUGGUGCUUUCAGGCUCUGAGGACCGGCGGCUGAGAUUAAACAACUUAUUACACAAAGAACCAUUUAAUUGCAAGCACAAUCACGCUUAGUGGAGAAGGAGAGAACGGAGCACGGUUUAAGAUGAUCUCCUCACCAGUUCUGCAAGAGAAGGUGGGGCUCAGAUAGGGACCCGGGUCGUCCAGGCCCCAGGAGGCUGGGAAGGUGCAGGGUCCCCAAUAGACCCACUGCCAGUUUGCAGAAAUAGCCUCCAACCCCCUCCCUCACAAGGGUCCAGGGAGCAGCUCUUUCCCCAAAGGCUGGUUUCAGCAGGUUGCAACCACUGCUAGGGGUUAUAGGGGUUACACCAGGCCCCCUGCAAGAGCUGCAGACUCUCUUGUCUAAAACGACAAGCAGACAGAACGGAGUCCUCAGACACUGUCCCCGAGAGACCACCUUCCUCUGCCUCUGCUCACCUCCCUUUUCAGCAAACUAGCCCACCAUCCUUCAUAACAGAAGAGGGGCCUGCAGUAAAACAUAGCAUGCCUGGGCCCCCUACAAAUUGCCAUCUCCUCCCUGGCCUCAGUUUCCCUGCCUGUCUAUAUAAUGAGAGGUCAGACCGGCUGGUCUAAAGGUCAAGGUUGAUCGAAGCACUCUAACUCUCCCCACCCACCUCCCUUCAUCAGCCAGUGCAGAGACACACACGCCCCUCCAUGGUGCUGGAUGUCCUCAGUUUUCCCAAAAUGACCUGGCUUUGAAAGACCAAGGCCAAAAUGGUUUGGCGGUGACUGUGGAGGCCAGCAGGACUCCCUGGCCACACGGUGACUCAAAGAGGCAGCCGGCAGGACAGCCCUGUCUCCCCUUGGGACAGUGAUGCAAUCCAUGGGCAGCUGGGAGGGCUCCGCGGGCCAGACUGCUGGGCAGGCCCCCUCGCUUUCUGAGUUUCGGGCCCUCACUGUAACCUGCAGACCCUCCUUGAGCUGGAAUCCAAAGCCCUCCUAUGUGUGAGUCCUGCACUUCUCUAAAAGUGGUGGAAAAGACAGGCCAGGUUCGAGUCCAGCUCCCAACCCACCACUGCUGUUUUCAAAGCCUUGUGCCCUUGGGCAGGUCACCUCACUCACCCACUGCUGUCCUGUCUCAUUCCCAUGUGGAUGUCGGUGACACCUGCCUCCCAGGUGGUGGCAGGUAAGACGAGAUGAUCCCGUCAGCAGAGGGCAGAGUGCCUCGGGGGAAUUGGUGCUCACAGAGUUAGCCCUGAUGGAGAUGGCUGCCCAGGCUGGACCUUGUCAGCCUCCCCAGAUGAUGGAUGAAUAAUGGAUGGGCAGGCCGGGCGCAGUGGCUCACUCCUGUAAUCCCAGCACUUUGGGAGGCUGAGGCGGGUGGAUCACCUGAGGUCAGGAGUUCGAGACCAGCCUGACCAACAUGCUGAAACCCUGUAUCUACUAAAUACAAAAAAUUAGCUGGGUGUGGUGGUGUGUGACUGUAAUCCCAGCUACUUGGGAGGCUGAGGCAGGAGAAUCGCUUGAACCUGGGAGGCGGAGGUUACAGUGAGCUGAGAUAGCACCAUUGAACUCCAGCCUGGGCAACAAAAGCGAAACUCUGAAAAGAAAGAAAGAAGGAAAGAAAGAAAGAGAGAGAGAGGAAAGAAAGAAAGAGAGAGAGAGGAAAGAAAGAAAGAGAGAGAAAA
rnacentral:lncRNA from 10 species